rnacentral:rRNA from 1 species
AUUGAACGCUGGCGGCAGGCCUAACACAUGCAAGUCGAACGAGUGGCGGACGGGUGAGUAAUGUCUGGGAAACUGCCCGAUGGAGGGGGAUAACUACUGGAAACGGUAGCUAAUACCGCAUACUAUCAGAUGUGCCCAUAUGGGAUUAGCUAGUUGGUGGGGUAACGGCUCACCAAGGCGACGAUCCCUAGCUGGUCUGAGAGGAUGACCAGCCACACUGGGACUGAGACACGGUCCAGACUCCUACGGGAGGCAGCAGUGGGGAAUAGUGCACAAUGGGCGCAAGCCUGAUGCAGCCAUGCCGCGUGUAUGAAGAAGGCCUUCGGGGUGUAAAGUACUUUCAGCGGGGAGGCGUUACCCGCAGAAGAAGCACCGGCUAACUCCGUGCCAGCAGCCGCGGUAAUAC